UCCUGUAAGACCGUCUGGUACUGACAAGAGCUGGCUCUGUGUGGAGAGAGAAACAGAGAGGGAAGAAGGGGGAAACAAGAAGAAGCAGCAGCAGCAGAACCUCCUUGGUCAUGCAGUUGACCGUGACCGCACGGAGGCCCAGCCAGCUUGCUGUUUGUGUAAAGUUCAGGAACAAUGGAGACUCUUGUGCCUGGACCUGCUUCCAAUCCAAACAGGAUGGGACACGAGGGAGGGACGGGGCCUUGCACCAGACCUAGGAGAGAGAGCAGCAAGGGUGCAGGCCUUGCCUGAGGUGGCCCUCACUCGCCUGCGGUCCCCAGGAGUGGCACAUUUAGCUGCAGGGACGAGUGUUUGAUCUGAGCUGGGCACACUGCUGCCGAUGUGCAGAGGUUCACUGCCUGCUGGACCAAGGGGGUCCGCUCCGUGUUGGAGGUGCUUCAUGUUGCCUGUCAGGAGAGGUUUCUGAGCCAGAAAUCCCCUACCUCAAGAUCAGAGAGGUGUUCGGUUCCGCUUUCUUGUGGCUGAAUGUCCCACCAUGAGGUGCUGCUGAUGGUGUUUGGGGACCUGUGCCUCGGCAGGGGUAACUGACUUUAGAAAUAAAAAGAAAAUGAGCCAACUGGUAGCAGAGAAGAAUCACUAAGGUAUGCUUGGAAGAGGUAAGUGAACACAGCAGACACUGAGUCACACGAUGCUGAGCUCCGGGACCAGCGGUCCCAAACCCACAUGGCAGCGCACACUGGCUGGCAACGUAGCCUUCACAGGUGGGCACCACAUUGUGCUCAAGGUGGGAAACGUACCUUUGGUUACAGCUGAGGCUCUGUAGUGUUACAACAGUGCUUGUCAGACAGAAUAUUGGGAGAAAUACUUUGGGUAGACAGGAAGGCCUGGGGGAAGAGGCAGACUACAAGGACAAACGUGUGCCAACACCACCACAUGUGUCCCAGGGUGUGUGGCAACUUCAUCCUGCUGGUAUAGGAGAGCGUGUAGUUGCAGCCUGGCUUAGUCUGUUUCCUGUUGCUUUAGCAGAAGACUGUGGCUGGAUAAUUGAUACAGGGAAGGAGUUUGUUUGGAUCACAGUCCCAGGGCUGGUAAGUUCAAGAUUGAGGGCCUCCUACUACUUCUGCUCAUGGUGGAAAGUGGGUACAUGCAGGAGAGAAAAAGCAGCAACCCAAACUCCAGGAGGAGUUAACCUAUUCCUGUAGGAAAAGCAUUCAUCUGCCAUGAGGUCUUUGUCCCAGCAACCUGUCACACAUCCCCCAGAUGCCCCAUGCCCAUGCUGCUGCCCAUGAUGACAAGCAAAUUCCAGCGUGAACCUCAGCAGGGAUGUACCAUAUUUCAACCACAGCAGGGCCAAACAGUUGUCCUCAGAUAAAGACAUGGGCUCAGAGAGUCGCUGAGUGCAUGCUAUGAUAA